rnacentral:lncRNA from 1 species
GUCUAACAGAUUUUUAAAAUGUCAUCUCAUUGUUUGAAUUUGCACUUCUAUGUGUUUAUUCUGUGAACUGUUCUAACAUACCUUUGGCUAAUUCUUUUCUUUCAGGUACUUCAUGGACCCAGGUUCAAUCCACUUUGCUAUUAUUCACUAUAGUGGGAAAAGAGGGAUGGAGGUUCACAGCCUCUCAUGCUUGUUAUGGAAAUGAAAUACAUCCCUGAUGCAAUCCAUUGGUCAGAAUUGGUCAUAUGACCUGGCAUAACAGCAAAGAAGGCUGGGAAACUCAAUGAUGUCAAGAGGUCUGUGGCAAGACAUAAACAUCACAGUGGAAGUGUAUAAUCCAGGAGAGCUGCUUCUCCUCAUGGUAGUCAAGAAAGCUCCAGGGUCAAAACAAACCAUCAAAGAGUGCCUCCAAUUGUAGGGAAAAGGAUCUAGCCAAAGAAACAUUGAGCAGAGCCAGAGAGACACACUUUGACCCAGCAACCAGAACCAAAGAAAUGUACCCUGACUCUGAAACUAGUGCCAAAGAAACACACUUUGUCUCUAGAAGCAGAGUCAGUGAAAGAAAUGCACCCUGGCCCUAAAAGUAGGGCCAGAAAGCCAAAAAGACCAGUAAAAUACACACACUUUGGCCCUGAAACUAGAGUCCAAUCUGGCCCUAAACCCAUGCAGAAAACCAACCAAUCCCUGAACAGAGAGCUAGCCAAUCAGUUCAGGGACUCAAAUCGGACCAAUCCCUGCCCCCUGGAAAAACUAUAUAAACCCUGUGUCCCCAUGGAACUGUAAGAAGA